UACGAAGGGUGCAAGCGUUACUCGGAAUUACUGGGCGUAAAGCGUGCGUAGGUGGUUCGUUAAGUCGGAUGUGAAAGCCCCGGGCUCAACCUGGGAAUUGCAUUCGAGACUGAAUAGCUAGGGUGCGGUAGAGGGAAGCGGAAUUUCCGGUGUAGCAGUGAAAUGCGUAGAUAUCGGGAGGAACAUCUGUGGCGAAGGCGACACCCUGGACCAGCACUGACACUGAGGCACGAAAGCGUGGGGAGCAAACAGG
rnacentral:rRNA from 1 species